AUGGAAAAUUUUAUUAUUUAACACAAUAAAUCUGGAGGUAAAGGUUGGUUAAUUCAGUGCUUCAGGAACAUCAUCAGGAAGCCCUUUCUUUCUGGAUAUAAUUUUCAGCCUCUUCCUCAGUUUCAUCCUUAGCAACCCAGCAGGACAACUUUAAAAGGAAACAAAAUUAUUUACUGUCUCUAAACCAGGGAAGGUAGAAAAAUACAUUCAGAAGAAUGGUAUACAGUAUAAACUGCUGCUUUGGUUCAUGCUUUAUAUUUGAAAAGAGAUGCUGUAUAUUUUUAGGGGAUCACGAUGGGGAAGCUAAUCACAUUUCUGCUGCCUCUUGAAAACAUCAUUAUGGUAUAGUUAUUUUGGGGGGGAGUUUAAAGUCUUAGUACUUUUGGAGAUUUUAUUUUAGGCUACUAUAAAUUGUUACUCAGUAACUUGUUUAGAAUUAUUUUACUGAGUCACUUAACAAAGGUGGGAUUAGAUCUUCUCCAUAAUAUAAGAAUAUUAACUCCUGUGCAAAGAGUAUGUAUAGAUUAGCCAUUGAUGAAAGGAACAACCGAGUUCAGUCCAUCUUGAAGAAAGAAUAAAAGUAGAAUUGAAUCAUCUCUGGAAAAAGCAAGAUGGCCUGUCAUUCUAGUACUUACUAUAUGUAAGAAUGUUUAAUAUUAGUAGGUAAUUGUAUAAUUAAAAUAUUCUAAUUUAGGGAUCUUCUAAUCAGUUUGUAAUAGCCAAACUACCAAAGUUCCAUUUAUCUUGCAUGUGAAGAACUUUUUAAGUAGAAAGCUCUGCCUUAACUUUCAUAAUGUUUAUAUAUAUUUAUGCUUUUCAUUUCUCUGCAAAGCUUUUCUUGUUAAUGUGAAACUUGGAAAAUAAUAGUAAUAAUUUGCAGUUCAGUAAAGAUUAUAGUAGUAUCUAAUUUUACAAUAUUCCUGAGACACUGGUAAUUUUCAGCCUCUCUUCAAGACUUUCAUACUACUUUUAACUGUCAUGGUUAUCAUUUGCAUGUUUCUUAUUUCCCUUGUUGAUUCUAAUUAUGCCCUCAGGAGUUAGCAUAGUAUAAAUUUAUUAUUUAAUGUUUUUAUUUGAGUAUCAUUGACAUAAAAUAUUAUAUUAGUUUCAGGUGUACAGCGUAGUGAUUGGAUAACUAUAUGUUUUCCUAUACUCAUCACAAGUGUUAGCUACCAUCUGUCACCAUAUAACCUUAUUACAGUACCAUUGAAUAAAUUCCCUAUGCUGUACCUUUUUUUAAUUUAAAAAAUUUAAAAAUUUUUAAAUUUAGUUUAUUUAUUUAUUUUUUUUUAUGAGAGAGAGAGAGCAUGAGAGGGGGGAGGGUCAGAGGGAGAAGCAGAGCCAGAUGAGGGACUCAAUCCUGGGUCUCUAGGAUCAUGACCUGAGCCUAAGGCAGUUGCUUAACCAACUGAGCUACCCAGGUGCCCUAUGCUGUACCUUUUAUUCCCAUGACUUAUUUAUUCCAUAAGUGGAAGCCUGUAAGCAUAUUAUAAAUUUAUUAUGUUUUCUAUAGGACAUCUCAUCAGAUAUUUGAAGGUGAUUAAACAUUUUUUAGGGGUAGAAACUGUCAUUUGUGUUUCCAGGACUCAGUUGGCCAUUAUAUUUGUUGAUUGACUUGAUUGAGAACUUAAUGUGUAUCAAUGUUUCAUUGUCUUCCAUUAAUUUGUAUAAUGGAGGGAAUCUUUUGUUGUUCUUAGAUUUGUGGUCUGUAAAAGUAUAAAGUUAUAUAUAUGUUUCCAUAAUCAUUUUACUUGGGCCUGCAUAAAUCAAGUAUUUUUUUUUAAACUGUAAUAAAUUAAUCUUGUAAACCCAUUGUUAGUAACUUGAAAAAACGAAUAUUGUAUGAGAUGAAGCACUUCUUUUUAUUGCUAAUUUCAGGUUACACUGGGAAACCCCUAUGUGAAAGUAUAGGUCUAUUACCUGUCUUUGUUCUGUCUGGAGUGAUUUAUUGAUACUGUAAAACAAAGUUUAUCAGUAAGACUGUAAGUUUCUGUUGGAUUCUGGGGAUCUUGCCCUUGACUUUGAUACUGGUAUUGUUGGCAGCAUUAUCAUUGUUAUUAGUCAUUAUCCCCUGAUGUCUGCAUUUGUAUGGCAGAAUAAAUAAAGCCAUUAUACAGGUGUAAUUCCAGGAUGACUUAGCAUACAGCUUUCUGUCAAUCUGUUGGACUUUUAUUUAGAAAAAAUUUUUUUAAAGACUUUGGGUGUUAUGGUUCUAUGUCUCUCUGCUUAUGGCCUUUUUUUUUUUUUUAAAAGAUUUUAUUUAUUUAUUCAUGAGAGACAGAGAGAGAGAGAGAGGCAGAGGGAGAAGCAGGCCCCCAAGGAGCAGGGAGCCCGAUGUGGGACUCGAUCCCAGGACCCCGGGAUCAUGACCUGAGCCGAAGGCAGACGCUUAACCAUCUGAGCCACCCAGGCGCCCUGCUUAUGGCCUUUUUAUGUACAAUUUUUUUUGGUGGUAAAGUUGUGUUUUAUCAUGAAUGAUUGAUUAAAAUGAAUGAUUCCAUUUCCCAUCCACAAAGUUAUUCAUAAUAUGAAUUCAUAUUCAAAGUUAUUCAUAAGUUAUUAAUGUUUUAGGUUAUGCCAUUCUUCUCUUAUAGCAGUAAUGAAAAUGUCCCUCAGGUUCUUGAAUGUUCUCAGCUUUAGAAAACAUUUAGUAUCAUUCCUUUAAUUUUAGUACUGAAUAAGCUGAGGCAUAGAAAUCAUAAUUGGCAAGGAAAAGACGGUUACUGGGUUUUCUGUUUAGUCCAUUGUUCUUUGCAUUUUACCAAAUCGUAGUCAUUUUCCCAAUAUAUGCAUUAGGGAAACAUUGCAUUUUGAAUUGAUGCCCUUUCAGAAAAGCAGCAGAUUUGUUCUUUAUUUUCACAUUAUGGAUUUUUAGUUUGAAUACAGGUUACCUAGUUACCCCGUUAUUAAGUAUUCUAUCCUUUAUUGUCAUGACCUCUUUUGAAGUAAUAGUAAUGUUUCCUCAUAUGAAGAAUAGAGUACUAGAAAUUUAAUGUACUUGUUCAAGGUCACAGUGUAUGUGUUGAAUCAAGAGUACUCAAAUCAGUUGUAGCUCUUUGGCUCUUUUGUCACCCUUUGUGUUGUUAAUAUAACAUAAUUCAUGUGAAUCAUCUAACUAGUUCUCAAGUGUGGGGACACACAAAUAUGUACAUUAUUUAUAUUUGGCCUAUUAUAAUUUUUGUAAAUUGAAAAUCUGAUCUUGUUUCUUCCAGGUUUAAAACCUUUUAAUGACUUCUCUGCAUAAUGAAACCUAAAGAACUUUCUUUGCUUUUUAAUCUCUAGUUCUGGCAUCUUUUUGCAGUUCAUUGAACAUGUCCCUCUUGUCUACGUAUUUGUACAUAUAUUUGUCCCUCUAAAAACCUCCUCCUUGUAGGUCUCUCACCACUCCAAAUUCUUUUCAAGAUUCAGAUCUUUAUCUGGAAAACUUUAAAACAAAAUUUAUCUGACUAAAUUUAAAGAUCCACUUGCCUUUAUUUGAUGAUUUAUUGAUUUAUUUAUUACUUUUGCAGGAUUUCUCUGGUGCUUAGCAUUCAGUUCAAUAUUAACUAUUGGUGAAAUAUACAGGCAUUCAUGAGGCCCUUUAAGAAUGUAGCAGCCCUGGGACGCCUGGGUGGCUCAGUUGUUAAGCGUCUGCCUCCAGCUCAGAUCAUGAUCCCAGCGUCCUGGGAUCGAGCCCCGCAUCAGGCUCCCUGCUCAGCGGGAAGCCUGCUUCUCCCUCUGCCACUCCUGCUUGUGUUCCCGAUCUCGCUGUCUCUCUGUCAAAUAAAUAAAUACAAACCUUAAAAAAAAAGAAAAAGAAUGUAGCAGCCUUUUAAGAAUGGGUAUCUAGCUGGCUCAGCUGGUGGAGUGUAGGACUCUUGAUCUCUGGGUUGUGAGUUUGAUCUCCACGUUGGGUGUAGAGAUUACUUAAAAAUAAAAUCUUAAAUGUAGCAGCCAGCACAUAUUUGAUCCUUAUUGAAAUUAUGCAGGCUGUAGGUCAGCCUUCUGGGCUAAAGGUGAACAUUUUCCUUCUUCUAUCCUUCAUCGUUUCCCCCCUGACCAAUUUUUGGUCCUUAAAUCUUUAAGGUUGUUGAAGGGCAAAAGGCUCAUCUUCUGUAACUUCUUCAAGCUGACAGGGAUCAUAGAAAUGUUCUUACCUAUGGACUGAAAUUGGUUACUGUCUGUCUCUACAAGUAACCACCAUGGAAGGCCAUUGUUAUAGAAUUCAGCGUGGACAUUGGGGUGAAUUUGUUUUGAGUAGUAAGGAUCAUCUGUUGGCUGGGUGAAGGAGUCAGAAACUGCUUGCAUGUAUCUUGAUAAUAGAACAAAACGAAAGUGACAACACUUUAGGAUUAAUAUAAUAAAAAUAAGAAGUGUGAUAGGAAGACUCUUUAAGGUACACCAUAGUCUACCUCCCAAUUAAAAACUAAUCAUUCGAAGAACUAAGAGUUAGACAUUGCCUUAAUUUGCAUGUGUAUGAGCUAAAAAUUUGGAUUACAUUAGCAGAGUCAUCUGGGAUACAUAUACAACAUUUAGUCUUAAUAUUAGCAUAAUAACUUCCUUCCUGAUUUGCAAUCAGAAUAUCAAGGGCCAUUAGGUUUUGGAGUGCCACUUUUCAAAUUUGUGGGUGACUUCAUGUUGGGUUUCGUUAAAGGUGGCUUCUGUAUGCUUGGCUAACGCUUCUGUUUGUAAUUUUUACAUCAAGAGAGGUGGCUCCCAGGACAAGGAAUAAAACCAUUAUGAAGCUUUCUUUGCCUGAUGUCUAGCCUUAACACUAUCCUAAUUAUGAGGAAUUGCUGGCAAGUAGAAGAUGACUUGUCUUGAGGAGAUUAGGGCAUCCUCAUGUGGAUUCUCCAAUCUAAUUAAAAGGAAAGUAGGGCACCACUAAGCACCUGGGUGUCUUAGUCUGUUAAGCAUCUGUCUGUUGAUGUUGGCUCAGGUCAUGAUCUCAGGGUCCUGGGAUGGAGCUGUAUUGGGUUCCACACUCAGUGGGGAGUUUGCUUGAGGACUCUCUCUCUCUCUCUCUCUCUCUCUGCCCCUCCCCCUGCUCGCACACUCGCUCUCUUUCUCUCCUUCUGUCUUUAAAAAUAAAUAAAUAAAUCUUUUUAAAAAAAAGGAAAGUGGGGCUAUCAAUUUUCUGUACAAGUUCAUAGCUAAUCCCAUGGAGUUGGGUACGCUCUGACUUUUAAGGAGCAUUUUUGUUAUCCCAGCCACAUAGUCUGUCAAGGCGAUAGUUAAGUUACACAGUUGUUGGGGAGUCCACAAAAUAGAAUGGGUUUCAGCAGCUGCUUGGGACUAUUCCUUAGAGUCCCCAUCCUGAAGCACACUAGCCAGACAAUUGGCUCCAGUUAUCAUAGCCAUUAAUCUGGGAAACGAAUGAUGGCGAAAACCCCACAUGCAACAAGAGUCCGGCAAUAUUCAUCCAGGCCUGUCAAGAUAUGUUUCAGAUCUGGCACACAAAAGAAGCAGCAAAAAAAGAGAAGACAAGUGACUCGGAAAAACAGAGAGACUCAGGUACAGGAUGUUGGCAGCAACCUGUUUACAAGAGAGACAAAGGGAGGGUGCACAUAGCGAACAGGAGAGGACACAGGUGAGGUUGUAGAUUAACAAUAGAAGGGCUUGAGGCAGCUGAGCUGAUGGUGGGUUGAGGGGUAGAGGGUAAGGAGAGGGGUGUCCUUAGGCCCCCUAGAGGACUAUAGGACAAAUCAGUGUUUUGGUAUAGGGCCAUAAAGGCCUGACCUUUUGAGAUUUUGGUCCAUUUUCCUUGAUGCUUACAAAAAAAAAAGUCUAAUUGCUAAAUAGUAUUGAAGCUUAAGAACCCAUUAAUGGACCUUUUUUUUUAAAAUCAUCCUCUAUACUACAUCAAAAACUAAUGAUGUAAUGUGUGGUGAUUAACAUAACAUAAUAAUAAAAAAAUAAAUAAAUAAAAAUAAAAUCAGCCUCCAGAGACUAUUGAGGCCAGGCAUUAUUAUAGAAGAAGAUGAGGCACUUCUUUAAAUCCUGUUGUCCAAAUUGAUUUCAGUAUGUUAGGAGACAACCAAAGAAAUCCUUUGGGAUUGAGGAAGUUGAUCCCAUAGUCAAUUCAUACAAAAUGAGGAGAGUACAUUAACUACCUAGGAGUCCAUUACCAAAAUCCCCCUUGGCUUUGAAUGGCAUCCCAUCAGGAAUAUUGCCAAAGGUUCCUGGGGUUCACGGUGGUGGGAGGCAUUUUUCUUUCUUAACUGGUUUGGUACCUUUGUACUACCUAAGAAGGGAUGUUGACAUCCCUUUGCUUCCCCAUUGCAUUCUAGACUACAACAGAUGCUGGUAAAUGGACUGAAUCGCUGCAGGGAUUGGGGCUGCCUCUUUCCAUUUUGGGUGAGCCAAUAUAUUUGGCAACCAAUAGUAAUACCAUUUGAAAGCCUCUGGAUAUAGUAUUAGAAAUAAGGUAUGGAACCCCUAUCUAAUCCAAGCAACUUGUCGUGAGCUCAAUCCAUGAUCCAGUCCCAAGGGAAGGUCCCCCAUCAAGUGAGUUCCCCAACUGCAUAAUAGCUCUUGUCUCUUUCAGGAAGUACACGGUCAGACAUAACUUGGAUUUUAUGCUCAUUGAGGAUCACACCUGGUUAUUUAGGAGGAAACCUUACACGGGAGUCUUGGGAUUGGGGACCAUCCUAACGACAAAUGUUGCUGUCCUAUGCCUGACAAGAAUAUAUGCAUUAGGGGCACCUGGGUGGCUCAGUCGUUAAGCGUCUGCCUUCGGCUCGGGUCAUGAUCCCAGGGUCCUGGGAUCGAGUCCCCACAUCGGGCUCCCUGCUCGGCGGGGGGCCUGCUUCUCCCUCUCCCACUCCUGCUUGUGUUCCUGCUCUCGCUAUCUCUCUCUCUGUCAAAUAAAUAAAUAAAAUCUUUAAAAAAAAAAAAAAGAAUAUAUGCAUUAAAAGAACAGGGAAAAUUAGGAGAGUCUGAUUUCUGAGCCCAAUGCCAUUAUGACCAAGGUAUUAGUAUCAAGCUGGGUGGCAGUGGACCAUCCCUGCCCAUAGUGUAGCCACCAUGGGCAAGAGGCUCUCUCCUGAACACUUGAGUAAGACAUGUUCUGAAGACAUGUGCUGAAGGGUCAUAGUAUUCAGGACAUCUCUGAAGAAGGAAAAAGAACAGGGAUGAAACAAAGACUGGGGUAAAGAUGACUUACCAAGUCGCAUCGAGGCUCUUGAUUUAUUCCGUACUCCCCAUACAGGGCCACCAAAAAUGUUGUGGGAUCUUGGAGCGCAACAGCCAAGACAGAAUUCUUGAGACAUUUUACAGUGCAGCUUAGUAAGUUUAUUUAAGUAGCAUGGGGGCGGAAAGGGCUGCACUUGCCCUCUAUGAAGCUGGUGGUUAUAUGCUCAGUGCUCGAGGGGGGAGGGGACAUGCAGGGAGCAUUAGAUCAUAAAUAUCUUUUUCGAGUUUCUACUUGUAAAACUACUUCUGCAAGAUUUCUCUGGUGCUUAUCAUUCAUUUCGAUAUUAACUAUUGGUGAAAUAUACAGGCAGUCACGAGACCCUUUAAGAAUGUAGCAACCAGCACUUACUUGAUCCUUAUCGAAAUUAUGCAAGCUAUAGGUCAGCCUUCUGGGUUAAAGGUGAACAUUUUGUGGUAACUUCAAAACUUAGCUGCUUCUUCCAGAAAGCUCCCUCUUUACCUCUAAUAAAUUCGCUUCUGUUGUACUAUAAUUUGUCUGUGUUAUCUGUAUUAGACUGAACUCCUUGAGGCCUGUGACUAUUUCAUAUCCAGUUCUGCUUGUCUGUAGUACAUAGAUCGGCUUAUUUAAUGCUGUUGAAGCUAACUGAAUGUCUGUAGCUUAGGGAAUAAGUAUUACUUGAAUUGGAAGCUAAAUUUUAAGAAAGGGAUGCUUCAGGAAUUUUAGGAAAAUGAAGUUAGUUUUAAAGCAUUAAUCAAUUUUUAAAUCAUUAAUCCAAAAUGUUGAGAUUUUUUUUAUAGAAGGACUGUUAGAUAAUUUAAAAUGAUUCUGAUUUCUUUGUAUUGAAUGUUCUGGGAAAAUAUGGAAAAGAUUUUGAUCCAUAACUUAAUCCUUUUAAAAAUAGAGUUAAUUAUUAGAACAUUCUAGAACAUUACUUUAUUCCCAUGCUGAUGUCCUCUUACCACCUUAUUUAUUUAUUGUCAGGUAAGAAAGAGAAAGGGGAGGAGUAGGGAGGAGGAGAGGGAGAGUUGGGAAAGGGGGAAGGAAGAGGGGUAGUAGUGUGUGUGUGUGGGGGGGGUUAUUUUAUUCUUCUGUGUGCAGACUUAUUUAAUCUCUCUGCUUUUUAAUAUGGAUACAUAGCUCUUGUCUCCAGUAUUCUCUGAGUUCUUUGGCGAUUCUGCAAAUAAACUUAAUUUGCUUCUUAUUUCUUCCUUCCCUUCCUCCUUCUCUGGUGUUCUUGUUCAGGCAUUAGUAUUUCUGUUACUUUAAGGACUUCAAUAUAUUAUGGGUAUUUUUCACCAAAAAUACUGUUCUUAAGAGUUUAUUGUCACUUUAGUGCAAGGAACAGAAAUAAACUUUAAAUCUUUUGUGUUGAAGCAGAAGUUAAUAAUGGUCAGCAUAUGUUUAGUAUAAAAGUUGUAUAAAUUGAGGUGUUCAGUUCCUUUACAUUAGAAAACAACAGUAUAAUUAAAAUGGGGAAGAAUUGGUGCAUCUGGAAGGUGCUCAGAGAGUGGGAAAAACAGCACCUACAUUGUAAGCUCCAUAAGAGAAUGGGUUUGGCCUUUCUUCCCGUGGACGCCGCUGAGUAAGCAUCGUUAAAAGUCUCCCCUCCCACCAUCGUUAUGUGUAAGUCAGAGUCUCCCAAAGAGCCUGAACAGCUGCGGAAGCUCUUCAUCGGAGGUUUGAGCUUUGAAACAACUGAUGAGAGUCUGAGGAGCCAUUUUGAGCAAUGGGGAACGUGUACUGACUGUGUGAUAAUGACAGAUCCAAACACCAAGGGCUCCAGAGGCUUUGGGUUUGUCACGUAUGCCACUGUGGAGGAGGUGGAUGCAGCCAUGAACACAAGGCCACACAAGGUGGAUGGAAGAGUUGUGGAACCAGAGGGCUGUCUCAAGAGAAGAUUCUCAAAAACCUGGUGCCCACUUAACUGUGAAAAAGAUUUUUGUUGGUGGCAUUAAAGAAGACACUGAAGAACAUCAUCUAAGAGAUUAUUUUGAACAGUAUGGGAAAAUUGAAGUGAUCGAGAUCAUGACUGACCGAGGCAGUGGCAAAAAGAGGUUUUGCUUUUGUAACAUUUGAUGACCAUGACUCUGUAGACAAGACUGUCAUUCAGAAAUACCAUACUGUGAAUAGCCACAACUGUGAAGUAAGGAAAGCCCUAUCUAAGCAAGAGAUGGCUAGUGCUCCAUCCAGCCAAAGAGGUCGAAGUGGUUCUGGAAACUUUGGUGGUGGUCGUAGAGGUGGUUUUGGUGGGAAUGACAGCUUUGGUCGUGGAGGGAACUUCCGUGGUCGAGAUGGCUUUGGUGGCAGUCGAGGUGGUGGUGGAUAUGGUGGCAGUGGGGAUGGCUGUAACGGAUUUGGUAAUGAUGGAAGCAACUUUGGAGGUGGCGGAAGGUAUAAUGAUUUUGGCAAAUACAACAAUCAAUCCUCAAAUUUUGGACCCAUGAAAGGAAGAAAUUUUGGAGGCAGAAGCUCUGGCCCCUAUGGUGGUGGAGGCCAAUACUUUGCCAAACCAUGAAACCAAGGUGGCUGUGGCGGUUCCAGCAGCAGCAGGAGCUACGGCAGUGGCAGAAGGUUUUAAUUACUGCCAGGAAACAAAGCUUAGCAGGAGAGGAGAGCCCGAGAAGUGACAGGGAAGCUACAGGUUACAACAGAUUUGUGAACUCAGCCAAGCACAGUGGUGACAGGGCCUAGCUGCUACAAAGAAGACAUGUUUUAGACAAUACUCAUGUCUAUGGGCAAAAAACUCGAGGACUGCAUUUGUGACUAAUUGUAUAACAGGUUAUUUUAGUUUCUGUUCUGUGGAAAGUGUAAAGCAUUCCAACAAAGGGUUUUAAUGUAGAUUUUUUUUUUUUUGCACCCAUGUUGAUUGCUAAAUGUAAUAGUCUGAUCAUGACGCUGAGUAAAUGUGUCUUUAAAAAAAAAAGAGAAUGGGUUUGUAUCUUUUAUGUGUUUGUAUUUGCUCUCCAUUGUAUACACAGUGCCGAGCAUGGUGUAAGGUAAUGUGUGGUUAUCCAGUAGUUACUAGAAAGAAAUAUUUUGUAAUUUUUAUCACUGUAGAUAAAAGUGCAUCUAAGAAGUAUGUUGCCUUUUUGUUUGGCUUAGUAUUUUGAUCCUGCUUUCCUUCUCCAUUUCACCUUGAAAAGCCUGAUAUGAAAAUUAUCAAAAUAAAAACCUUUCUUCUGAUUUUGUCUUCUGUUUGUUUUUACUUUCCGUAGUUGUUACGUGUUUAUUUGGCUCACUAAAAUUGGGAGUUAAUUUAUGUUUUGACCAUUAUCCAAUACAUUGUUAGUACACAGAAAGCUUUUAUUUUUAAUAAACCUUGAGAUCAGCCUUACUAAUUUCAGCUGAUAAUUUAGACACACACCUAAAAAAAAAAAUUUAAAGUAAGUGUAAGUAAUAGACCAUACUAUCUUUUGUGAAGAUUAUUAUGUUCACAUCUCAUUCUUUUCAUUGAAUAGUAUAGAUGUAUUGUAUGAAAAAUAGAAAUUAUUUUUGUAUUGAAUAUGAACACUUCUUUUUUAAGCCGAGACCACAGGGUUAAGUUCUGAGGAGAUUUUAUCCUUAAUGGCAUCACAUAAGCAGUUAACUUCUUAAUAAUUAAGAAACAAUCCUGCAACCUUGGUUCAAUUUUGAAGUAUACUUUUGGUUGCUAAUUAAGCUACUUUUCACCAUUAAUUCAUAGUAGUUUAAAAGGAUUCCCUAUUAGGCAGUUUUUUCAAAGAAUUAUUAAUAGGGUAAAUGUAGACAAUUAUUUUAAAACUAAGGUGAUACCCACCAGAUGGUGCUAUUUUGCCUGUUUUGUUUGUGCAAAUACAGAGGAUAAAUGAAUACAGAACUUUUUAAAAAGUGUAUGGAAGAUCUAAUAUUUUUAGGGCAUAUUUUGGGGAUAGAGGAGCUCAGUGGAAAGGAUUCCAACAUAAACUUAUAUUCAGUACUGAAUUUUAUCUUAAAGGUAGAAGCUAUUGCUAGAGUUACAUGCCAGAGAAACUUCUAUUUAGUCUAAAAUUAAGUAGUAGAUAUUCUUAAGGUUGACAUAAGGUAAAUCCUAUUAACUGUCAUAAUUCCAUAGGCAUGAAAAAUAAAAUUAUUUAAAAGGAAUUGUAUAUUAGCAAAAUUUAUGUUUUAGUUUUCUUUACGUUUUCAAGUAAAUAAUAUUACUAUAUGAGUUACAUAAUUAUUUACAAAUUAAGGGAAACAUUUUAUUAUUUUAUGUAAUCUUGAAAUUUUCCAAAUAAAAGAAAAAUUAGGCUUGAAUUUAUUAUUUUUACAAAAGAAAAGGAUGACUCUUCUAAACUAAUUUGUAUAUUAGGAAGAAAGUAGUAUGUCGUAUACUGUUCAUUUAGAUGCUACAAUUGAAUGACUAUCCAUUAUAGUUAAAAAUGGCAAGCUAAUGAAAUACACUUCUUAGUGAAAUACGAAGGAUUCAGCCAGUAAUCCUAGGAUUUUAGUUUACUUAGUUUUUCUGGUCUUAUUAUCACUUCUGUUUUUGUGUCUGGCUAUGAGAUUGAAGCAUGAAAGUAUGUAGGUGCUAUUGUAACUAUUUGCCAAAGUCAUUGUUGUUAUGCCCACAAUGAUUUUAUUGGAAUGUGAAAUUAGAGAUUGAAGUUGCUUCUAUUUCUUUCAUUUUUUUCUCUGGAAAAGUACAUGUGUUACUUUGAAUUCAGUGAAUAAAACAUACAACUAUAGGCUAGUAAAUAUAGAUGGAUUUUCUUGUAUUCCUAAACUUUGUGAAUAGUUUAAUCAUAAUUAUGUUAACAUCAUCUCAUAAUACUUUUAAGAUUAUGAACCACCAUACUGCUUUAUCUUACAACAUGUCUUUUUUUUCUUUUACUUUGAUUUUUGGAAUCCUUCAGAUCUCUCCUGUAAGAGUAUAAAGUUCUUCCUGCUUUAGUUUCCCUUAUUCCACUUAGGACAGUGCUUUACAUCUAGCAGAUGAUCUGUAUAUAUUUAUUACAUAAGGAGUAAUUUUGGGGGCACCUGGCUGGCUUAGUUGGUAGAGCAUAUGACUUGAUCUUGGGGUCAUCAGUUUGAGUCCCACAUUGGGUACAGUAAAUAAAUAAAUAAAAAAUUUUUAAAAAAGAGUAACUUUGUUAUGCCAAGUAUUAGGAGUAUUGUAAUACAAAGGAAAUUAUGUAGAUAGGUUUUCCUCCUUGUGGGAAUUUCCAUAGUAACAAAUAGUAUUCUAUAUUCUGUUGUUUUUAUCUUAUACUUCCUUUCUAAGAUGGCUUUUUAUAGUUGGCUUAAAAAGGGUCAUCUCGCUGUAAUAUCUUAGGAUCAUAAUAGUGAUGCAUUCUAUCAGAGUGAAGUUAGGUAUAUUUUCAUUAAAAAAAAAAUCUUGUCAUCAGUCUGGGUUCAUGCGGAUCUUGAGAAUUACAGAUGAUUAGUGUGGUACAGAGCUUCUUGGGAGAGUUCAUUAAACUUUUUUCAGGGAAUUCAUGAAGGCAGAACUAUUUUCAAAAUUAUACUCAGGCAUCGUUUGUCCCUUUCAUUCUCAUUUUCUCUCGAAUAAAGUAGUCGUCCAGAGGUUACAUGAUAUGCGAUAUUGAUUAAAUGAGUAAGCAUGUGAAAAGCUAGCUGUCUUCUAUUAAGCCAGACAUUAAAGAGAUUUACAGUAAUUAUAAAACAAUGUUACUCUUCUCACUAAAUUUUUUUAGUUUAGCUUUAUUUUUCAUAAAAUGUUACUUAUGUUGACAUUUAAUGUUUCUAUUAUUUAAAAAAUAAUAAAUAUUUAAAAAUUUUGUUUUAGUUUUAAUGUGGUAAACAGGGAUGUAUAUGACAACUGUUUGAAGUACUCAGUACUUUUUUUAAAGUAUAAAGAGGUGCUGAGAUCAAAGCAUAUGAGAUCUUCUGAUCCUAAUUCUUUAUCUUCAUUUCACCAAUGAGGGUACUCAGAGGCUCAGAAGGGUUAAAUGGUUUAGUCAAGUAUACUCAGUCGUUUUUUGGCUUAGCUAAUACUUGCAUCACUGACUUUUGACCCCUGUGAUUUAUUUUAUUAACUGUUUCACUAUUUAGAUAUUCUCUGAACUCAUACCAACUCUGAGCUCCUUAAACUGUUUUCUAGUUUAAUAUUUUAACUUUACUAAGUACAUGAACAAAUUGGGAACAAUGACCUGAUUUUUCAGCUGCAAUAAAAUGGUGUCUUUUUUUUAAACACAUGAAAUAACAUUGCUAUAAAGUGUGAACUUUCUAGCAGGAAAAGGGAAUUGACAUAUAAAAUAGUGUAGCCUUAUUGUUAAGAAAAUAAAGUUGAGGGCAAAGAGGUAGCCUCUUGUAUUUUAGAGACUCUUUCACUAUCUUCUUUACUUUUUUUUUCUUCAUCAACAAUAAAACAUUGGUUACAAGCUUCCCUGGACAUUUAUGGCAGUCCACUCAUACAAGAACAAAGUAUUCUAUCCUUAGGUUUCAAAAAUUAAGAGGAUAAUAAUUCUGUAUUGCUCUUUUGUUAGCUGUGUAUUAUUUCUCAUGUUGAAACUCAUGAUUGAGAUAGUGCAUUCUAAAACAUUCCUUUUUUUCAUUGUUGAAGGAAUUUAAAAUCAUGUUAUGAGAUGGAUUGAAAACCUGGAUAGUUUUUACUUGGAAGAAAGAGAACCAGGACAUAUGUGAUAACCCUCCUUCAUUUGAUGAGCUUUCUUCAUGUGGAAAUGAGAUUAGAUCUAUUGAUUUA